rnacentral:rRNA from 1 species
CGCGUAGGCGGAUGUUACAGUCAGGCGUGAAAUUCCUGGGCUCAACCUGGGGGCUGCGUUUGAUACGUGAUGUCUGGAGUUCGGAAGAGGGUCGUGGAAUUCCCAGUGUAGAGGUGAAAUUCGUAGAUAUUGGGAAGAACACCGGUGGCGAAGGCGGCGACCUGGUCCGAUACUGACGCUGAGGCGCGAAAGCGUGGGGAGCAAACAGGAUUAGAUACCCUGGUAGUCCACGCUGUAAACGAUGUGCGCUGGAUGUUGGGUGACAUAGUCAUUCAGUGUCGUAGCUAACGCGAUAAGCGCACCGUCUGGGGAGUACGGCCGCAAGGUUGAA